GAUGAAGAACGUAGCAAAAUGCGAUAAGUAAUGUGAAUUGCAGAAUUCAGUGAAUCAUCGAAUCUUUGAACGCACAUUGCGCCCGCCAGUAUUCUGGCGGGCAUGCCUGUCCGAGCGUCAUUUCAACCAUCAAGCCCCGGGCUUGUGUUGGGGACCUGCGUCCGACGCAGGCCCUGAAAACCAGUGGCGGGCUCGCUGUCCACACCGAGCGUAGUAACUAACCUCGCUAUGGAGUGGCGCGGGCGCCUGCCGUAAAACCCCCAAUUUUUACAAGGUUGACCUCGGAUCAGGUAGGAAUACCCGCUGAACUUAAGCAUAUCAAUAAGCGGAGGA
rnacentral:misc_RNA from 1 species